UUAGCCCCUAGCCACUACCGCCACACCCCCUUUCCCCAAAAGAAACAUAGCUUCAGAAUAAACUAAAAGAAAGAAAAAGAUAAGGGAAAUGGAAACACGGGAAGGAGGGGAGAGAGGGUGAGAUCCGAGAAAGCAGAGAGAAAGAGAGGGAAGAGCGUCGGUGGAAGGGGGAAGACGCGCCGGAGCUGGUGGGCUGUUCCACCGCUCCUUGUCGCAGCUGAAGCCGUCGCCGCCACAGAUGCGUCCACGCCGUCGUUUGUUGCCGUUAGAGGAAGAUGAGCGCGAACCAGAGCCAUGCAAGGGAGGAGCAAAGCGCGUGUAGGGGAGAAGCCACCGCUGCCACUGCUGAGGUCACCGUCAUCGUCCUCACCGCAAGCCAGAGUCACCGUUAUCCAUGGUGGAGCCGAGGAGAGAGAGUCCGCGGGGAGAGGAAGGCUGUUCGCAUUCUGCCGCCGCUGUUGGAAGGAUGGCUGCCCUCGCCGAUUUGCCCACCGCCGUUUAUGCUUGCUGCUACGUUGCUGGAGCUCCACGCCGCUGCCGCUGCCACCAAAAACCGCCACUGAAGCCUAGGUCUGCUUGUCACCACUGAUGAAGCUCACCGGAGUUGCUCAAAGGUUACUACUGCUCUAUUUGGUUCUGUUGGAAGCUGCACUGCUGUGGAUGUGGUUGUCAAAAACUACCGCUGGAACCCCUGUCUUCUUGGUUGUUGUUGAACCACCGGAGCUUCUGGUAGCCGCCAUCACUAGAAGUAAUUGUCAGAGCUGCCGCAUGAUCGGUUCAGAGGGUCGCUGCUGCUUUCUUUCUCGUGGUUGCUGCGGCUGCUGUAAAAUUGAGAAUAAACAAAAGAGGAAUUGAUGCGUUUAACUACUGAGCUUUGACUAAAUCGAGGUGUGCUACUUUAGAGAAUGAGUUUUGGUGCUGAAUUGAUGAUUGUGUUGAUUGAUUGUGUGGAUACGGGCGACGAAGCUUCAGAAGAGUUAUAUUCGUUUUCGUCUAUUCAACAUAAAUUUGUAUUACCUCAGUUUUUAUUUUUUCCUCGCCUUUAUCUCUAGCAAUUUUUUGUAAGAGGGAUAGGAGUUGUAUGAUUUGUAUGUAUAUAUAAUAUGUAUAAAUUAUUUGAGUAAG